rnacentral:lncRNA from 1 species
UGCAGGUUCUGCCGGACAAGGAGCUCGGAGAGGCGCUGGAGGAGGUAGAGAAUUUGAUAAAAAAAACAGGGCAGCAGCAGCAUUUCAGUUUGGGAAGGUUAGACUGCUGGAGUUGAAGCAGUUGUGGAUUUCUUCAAGGCAAAAAUAGAGCAUUUCCACUUAGUGAGAUGAAAAGGGUUAGCUUUCAGGCUUUGUUCCAGCAUGCUUUUGAUUCGUCACACCUGAGCACUAAUUAUUACCUGCCUGCACUACUCCCUCUCCGUGUGUAGUGACAUAUUAGAAAUUCUAAAAAGACUUCAUGUGUGGGUUAAAUGUGUGCUCGGUGCGUUAGGUCCUGCUUGUUUUAAUUUGAACAAGAAACCAACCCUGUACUGCUGGUAGUCCUAAGCACACUUGAUUUUUUGGGUCGAAACUGUAAAUUAGUACGUUGUUGCUCAUGGGGUUCUUGUUCUGCAGGUUCUGCCGGACAAGGAGCUCGGAGAGGCGCUGGAGGAGGUAGAGAAUUUGAUAAAAAAAACAGGGCAGCAGCAGCAUUUCAGUUUGGGAAGGUUAGACUGCUGGAGUUGAAGCAGUUGUGGAUUUCUUCAAGGCAAAAAUAGAGCAUUUCCACUUAGUGAGAUGAAAAGGGUUAGCUUUCAGGCUUUGUUCCAGCAUGCUUU